AGAGUUUGAUCCUGGCUCAGGAUGAACGCUAGCGGCAGGCCUAAUACAUGCAAGCUGAACGGUAAAUAUUGUAGCAAUACAAUAUGAGAGUAGCGUAAGGGUGCGUAACACGUAUGCAAUCUGCCCUGUACAGGAGGAUAGCUCGGCGAAAGCCGGAUUAAUACUUCGUAAUAUUAUGGAGGGGCAUCUCUUUAUAAUUAAAGUCGCAAGAUGGUACAGGAUGAGCAUGCGUCUGAUUAGCUAGUUGGUAGUGUAACGGACUACCAAGGCGAUGAUCAGUAGGGGAACUGAGAGGUUGAUCCCCCACACUGGCACUGAGAUACGGGCCAGACUCCUACGGGAGGCAGCAGUAGGGAAUAUUGGUCAAUGGGUGAGAGCCUGAACCAGCUAUGCCGCGUGCAGGAAGAAGGCCUUCUGGGUUGUAAACUGCUUUUGCCGGGGGAUAAAAUUCCCAUGCGUGGGACAUUGAAGGUACCCGGUGAAUAAGCCACGGCUAACUACGUGCCAGCAGCCGCGGUAAUACGUAGGUGGCAAGCGUUGUCCGGAUUUAUUGGGUUUAAAGGGUGCGUAGGCGGUCUUGUAAGUCAGUUCUGAAAUAUCCCGGCUUAACCGGGAGGGUGGGAUUGAUACUGCAGGACUUGAGUGGAGUCGAGGUAGGCGGAAUUGACGGUGUAGCGGUGAAAUGCUUAGAUAUCGUCAAGAACACCGAUAGUGUAGACAGCUUACUAGUCUCAAACUGACGCUGAGGCACGAAAGUGUGGGGAUCAAACAGGAUUAGAUACCCUGGUAGUCCACACUGUAAACGUUGAUUACUCGCUGUGUGCGAUAUACAGUACGCGGCUUAGCGAAAGCGAUAAGUAAUCCACCUGGGGAGUACGCCGGCAACGGUGAAACUCAAAGGAAUUGACGG
rnacentral:rRNA from 1 species